GGGCGGUUAGCUCAGCUGGGAGAGCACCUCGUUUACACCGAGGGGGUCGGCGGUUCGAGCCCGUCACCGCCCACCA
rnacentral:tRNA from 4 species